AUGUGCAUGAUCGAUUUGGUCUCAAAGCAAAAUUCCACCAGUUUCCCUUUUUGUUCGAUUGUAAGCAGCAGCCUCAUUGGAUCAGUCUCAGACUACAUCAGAACACACUCCUCACAUACAGUAGUGUUCAGAAUAAUAGUAGUGCUAUGUGACUAAAAAGAUUAAUCCAGGUUUUGAGUAUAUUUCUUAUUGUUACAUGGGAAACAAGGUACCAGUAGAUUCUCACAAAUC